CGGUAAAUGGCACGACGUGUGAUGCAAAUAUGGUGGCGCGCUUUGAAUUCGCCAUGCUGUGGUCUAUAGAGUUCUUUCUGCUCUACCUACCUUAUGCAGUGCCACCCACGAGGUGUAAUAACUAAGUUUAUCACUUCCCACUCUUUUUUUAUAACUGCAGAUUGACAUUGGGCAUGGCGUGCUUGUGGACAAAGUGAUGCUGGAGAGACUGCGCCUCACCACAUCCCACAAUCCAAUGAAGUUCGCCCGUUCACUGUUGCGGGCUGUCUUCACCCCCGCAGAGCUUGCAAGCAGCUCACUUAAUGGACUCAGCAACACAGACCCAGUUCCAAAAAAAGCCCUUGACCCAAGAAGGGUGGAUGCUGUUGUGUUCUACACCUGCAAGCUCUUCAGGGUGGACGUAAGUAGCGUCCGGCUAAGCUUGGCUUCCCUGCUUCGUGAGAACAAAUACAAGACUACCUAAGACUCCACAUGCCAGUGCUUCAACACUUUUCCUGGCCAGUUGAAAAAAAAGCUUUGCAAGUGCGCUAUCUCAACAACUGAUGUAAACAGGAAAAAUGACGUGCUGUGGC